GCUAGGCGUGGUGGCGCACGCCUGUAAUCCCAGCUACUCAGGAGGCUGAGGUGGGAGAAUCGCUUGAUCCUGGGAGGUAGAGGAUGCAGUGAACCAAGAUUGCGCCACUGCACUCCAGCCUGGGUAACAGAGCAAGACUCCAUCUCAA
ensembl:misc_RNA Metazoa_SRP Metazoan signal recognition particle RNA